GAUGAACUCUGGCGGCGUGCCUAAUACAUGCAAGUCGAGCGAACAGACGAGGAGCUUGCUCCUCUGACGUUAGCGGCGGACGGGUGAGUAACACGUGGAUAACCUACCUAUAAGACUGGGAUAACUUCGGGAAACCGGAGCUAAUACCGGAUAAUAUAUUGAACCGCAUGGUUCAAUAGUGAAAGACGGUUUUGCUGUCACUUAUAGAUGGAUCCCCGCCGCAUUAGCUAGUUGGUAAGGUAACGGCUUACCAAGGCGACGAUGCGUAGCCGACCUGAGAGGGUGAUCGGCCACACUGGAAGUGAGACACGGUCCAGACGCCUACGGGAGGCAGCAGUAGGGAAUCUUCCGCACUGGGCGAAAGCCUGACGGAGCAACGCCGCGUGAGUGAUGAAGGUCUUCGGAUCGUAAAGCUCUGUUAUUAGGGAAGAACAAAUGUGUAAGUAACUAUGCACGUCUUGACGGUACCUAAUAAGAAAGCAACGGCUAACUACGUG
rnacentral:rRNA from 1 species